rnacentral:lncRNA from 1 species
CUUCUAAUUAUCAUCAUUUAUAUAUCAUAGUGGUACCAGUUGGCAUUUUACAGAACAGAGGACGGCACCCUCCCAGGCACGGGUCACGUUGAAGACAGCUAUUAUGACAAUACAGUGAUAAUACGCCGGGUGAGAGGGUGGACAUGAACCGCGCAUGAGAAAUUACUGGCUUUUCCCUCCACCAGUUCGGGGAGGGAAAGAGCUGGUUCUCACUGUGACGGAUUAGGCUUAGCAGCUUAGCUCAAUCACAGAGAACAAGCAGGCUCACGUUUCAGUUUGAGAUGUAAUUUAUGUUUUUAGUUGCAUCUAACCGAGUAGCAUCCUCAAGCAGUAAAACCCUAGGCAAACGUUCCUGGGUGAACACUAGCGCAGAUGAACCUUCCGGAAGGAGCGCCUUUCAUCACAGAUGCGCUGAUUGGCAAGGAAGCGAGUUACAGGAAGGUGGCUCUCUCGCUUUUCCUGAAGCAUAUUGUCUUCAGUGCCUCCAGCUGGGGGCU